rnacentral:rRNA from 1 species
CCUACGGGGGGCUGCAGUGGGGAAUAUUGGACAAUGGGGGGAACCCUGAUCCAGCCAUGCCGCGUGUGUGAAGAAGGCCCUCGGGUGGUAAAGCACUUUCAGUGAGGAAGAACGCCUGGUGGUUAAUACCCAUCAGGAAAGACAUCACUCACAGAAGAAGCACCGGCUAACUCCGUGCCAGCAGCCGCGGUAAUACGGAGGGUGCGAGCGUUAAUCGGAAUUACUGGGCGUAAAGCGCGCGUAGGUGGCUUGAUAAGCCGGUUGUGAAAGCCCCGGGCUCAACCUGGGAACGGCAUCCGGAACUGUCAAGCUAGAGUGCAGGAGAGGAAGGUAGAAUUCCCGGUGUAGCGGUGAAAUGCGUAGAGAUCGGGAGGAAUACCAGUGGCGAAGGCGGCCUUCUGGACUGACACUGACACUGAGGUGCGAAAGCGUGGGUAGCAAACAGGAUUAGAUACCCUAGUAGUC